rnacentral:rRNA from 1 species
UACGUAGGGGGCUAGCGUUGUCCGGAUUUAUUGGGCGUAAAGAGCUCGUAGGUGGUUCGGUAAGUCGGAUGUGAAAUCUCCAGGCUCAACCUGGAGGGGUCAUUCGAUACUGCCGUGACUAGAGUUCGGUAGAGGAGUGUGGAAUUCCUGGUGGAGCGGUGAAAUGCGCAGAUAUCAGGAAGAACACCUAUGGCGAAGGCAGCACUCUGGGACGGUACUGACGCUGAGACGCGAAAGCGUGGGGAGCGAACAGG